rnacentral:lncRNA from 1 species
UUUUAUUAUAACUAAAGCAUAAAAUACAAUUUUGCAAAUUUAAGAAAAAAUAAAUUAGGUCCCAAGGGGUAAUUCCCCUCCUGUUAUCUUCUGUUUUAUUUUCACCUGUGGAAACGUUUAAAAGACCAAGAUUUGAUUUCUUAUAAUGCAAUGAGAAGAGCAUCUUUUUCUGAAUGUAUGACUCGACAUGUAUAGUUUGAAUUACAGCCCGUUUGACAAAUCCGAGCUCAACCAAGUUAAAACUUUAGUGAACAAUAAUUUGUUUGUUCCCUCCUGUUACAGCCUUUUUGUGUACCUUCUGAGAAUGUUUGAUUGUCAACACUAUAAUAUUAAAUGUGUUUUUAUAAUUUCUUAUUGAAUUGAAAAGUAGAUGGGAGUAAACUUCCGCAUAAUUCAAAUCAAAGGAUAAAAAGAACUGUGUAAUUCUUUUCUGUAACGUUCUAUCAUUUUACCUGAUAAAAACUAACAGCAUAGCCAUAAGCAAUCACGGGAAGGAUGUCUUGCGAAUAAAGUUUUAAAAGAUAAAUGACAUUGUUUGCUGUUAUCAAUCAAUUGUAAACAAUUUGUAAUGAUGUAUUUGUCUUAAAAUAUGAAAUAAAGGAUUUAAAAAAAACAGAUUCCUGCCUGUUACCAACUCUGUCCUGUUACCCAAGAUUUUUUUUUAUGUAACCAACAUAUCGAACAAUAUUUUAGUACAUUUCUUAACUUGUUGCAUUGCACAUGCUAAAAUAAAUAAUUGGCAUUCGAUAAAAUAUUGUAGGAUAUACUAGUAAACCAGAUAUAAUAUCCUUAACUAAAUUUUUGU